UGCGGGGUAGAGCAGUGGCAGCUCGUCGGGCUCAUAACCCGGAGGUCAGUCGUUCGAAUCGACUCCCCGCUAC
rnacentral:tRNA from 1 species